rnacentral:tRNA from 2 species
GGGCCUAUAGCUCAGCGGUAGAGCGGUCGGCUCAUAACCGAUUGGUCCCAGGUUCGAAUCCUGGUGGGCCCACCA